AGUUAUUUUGGAAGAAAGGGCACUUGUUUCAUCAAUUUGACAACUUGGUCAAGUGAAGAAGAUUGGAGAAAAAGAUUUUGGCGAACUUGAAACUUGAUUUUGGAGACGUGUAUGAAGCGGAAAAGGUACACCCAGAUGAUAUGAAGUUAUUACAGAGGAUGUUCCGGCAGAGUUGGCAAGCUCCAUUUGCUCCCAGAGUGCUGCCGAGUCAGGGUUUGUACGUAUGUUUUUCUGGAUUGAUGUUAGAGACUUUGCAGACAGAGUCGUGGGUAUUGGUUAUCAGUCUGUAAGCGGCUCCAUCAGCCGAUAUGUCAUUCUGUGUUAUGUAGUAAAUUUUAUAUAAUUACGGAUUUUACCUAAAAUUGAGAACGAUAAAAGAUGGAUUUCGAAAGCUUAAUAUGUAUUUUACUUUUAUCUGAUUUUCAGA